GCCCGGGCGCCUCGUGCGUGUCCGCGAGCUCGCGUGCGCGCGUCACCUCGGCCCCCAACAUGGCUUGAGGGCGGCCCUACCCGCGCCGCCCUAGUGCUGCGAAGGGCCUGGGAGCCCAAACCCGGAACCGCCACCUGGGACUGGGAAGACGACAUGGCCAGAAGUCGAUCACUGAUAGCAUGGAACUGCCCCUUUCUGGGGAGGUAGGGUACACAGAGGGCAGCCACCUCGAAAGAGAAGACAGCGCUCUCCAAGCCGCUUCAAUCCUCAACACAGCCAGCCUAUUGCCGGCCAGUCUUCAUCUGGAGCCCAAGACUCAGGUCUCAGGUCACACCUGCACCUGCCGUGGGCUUCAUCACAGACGCGUCUGCCCACCGUGGAGCCCUCCGGACUUCCUGGCAGCCACUCAUGCCGCUUUGCCCCAGGUUUCCAUGCAGCUGUGCCAUGCCUGGGUUCUGCACCUCACACCCUGGGUGUUUCUCUGAAGCCGACUCUCUCAGCGUCCUCUCCUCAAGCUCCUGCGCUAUCCUUCCCCUUCCCUGCGGGUGGGUGCUCCUCAAGCUUCCUGCCUGCCCAAGCCCCCCACUCCUCCUUUUGGGUGUGCUUCUGGGAGUGCAUCUGUGGCUCCC
rnacentral:lncRNA from 1 species